UCCUGACAGCUUAAUUGUUUUGUUGACAAGUUAAUGAACUGCAAGCUGUCUGUAAGUUUCUAUUUCUGCUAAGUUUCGUUUUCCUUCGUGGGGACUCAAGACGAUGUCUGUAAUUCGGCUCAGUCUCUCAUCUCUCCUCUUGCAGAUCACAUCCCAUGACAGUGGGGCACAACUUGGCCAAACCUGUACAUUGAUGGAAGAUAGACCUGACCAGAUCAGACAUGACCAACCACCCUUCAAACUCAACCACCUCAAACCUACCACUGUAUCUUGGGAUUGUCUUAUCUGUCUGUUCCUCUAUCCAGGGUUCGAUGAUCUCCACAUCAUGUGAUGUAGGGCAGUCUGCAGUGCUGCCCUGCCUAGUCUCCUCACUUCACCGGUCUCCACCCUCUCCUUACAUACAGUGGCUGAGCACGUCGGAAACAGUGUUUGAGGGCAUGGGCACAGAGAAGUUUCAGGGCCACGGGUAUGAGGGACGAGCCAAUGUGCCCCAGCAAAUGCUGGAACAAGGCAACUGCUCUUUGUUUCUGGAAGACGUCCGGCUGACGGACUCUGGCGUGUACGAAAGCUACCUGGUGGUUGGCAAUACGAAAGUGAAAAGGAAGGUUUUGCUGCAGAGUGUUCAGUUCAUUGUCAGGGACCACAAGCUGAAGAAGACGGUGGAGAGGGGGAGGGACCUGGAGCUGGAGCUUUACACUCCUCAGGCCAAGCAAGUGGUGUUUCAGCCCCGGAGGCUCUCCCAGUGGGAUGUCCUUUGGAAGAAGAAAGGGGAAGGGUCCCAGAUGACCCAGCAUCCCCGGGCCAGGGAAGGCAGCUUGACGGUUGUCAUUGAAAACAUCACAUGGAACGAUGAGGGCACCUACCGUGUGUUGGAUGAAAAUGGAUUGGCUCUGAGCACGGUGAUGGUCACAGUAACAGAACCUAGCCCUGACAAGCCAGAACAGACUCAACAGAAAAGGCAAUUCCUUGAGGACCGAUCAGCAGGCAGCAGGUCCUAUCCAGGCCUCCCCCUCUUCUUGCUCUGUGGCUUUAUGCUUUAUUUCAUUUGAUUGGGGUAAUAUUCUGCAUUACUACCAGCUUUGGUUGAACGACCUCUGCGCUCACCUGAGUUCUGGCCAAGAGAAGCUGCUGGAAGCCCUCCACCUCCUUACUGUCAUCAGCCGCCCUCUCCUGAAACCAUCGGGGGAAACGGAUACAGACACAGAGCCAGCCAGGGAGGGAGAGUAAGAGACGGAGAGAGAGGCUGAUGAGAUAACGGUCAAAAGGGGUUGUUUUGGGGAUAAUCAAGUACUAGGACUAGAGGUGACCUGGUCUUACCAGAAACAUGCCGAGCGUUUUUCCCAUGAUGCAGUUGAAGAGGUCCAGUGCAGAGUUGCCAGCCACCAUGAAGAAGUCAGACAGGAAGAGGUACUCACGGCAGCCAUUAUCCAACAAUGCAAAGUGCUGACUUCGGAACAGCGUCUCAUAAGGGUACUGGAGAUGGGAAAGGGGAAGUAUGUUAUAUAUAUAUACCUAUGUUUAAACAGUGCGUUUGUACACACACACACACAAUUUUGUGUAUAUAGUACGCUGUGACUGAAUUCAAAUCUGACACUGUAACUGUGUAAUUUUGACAGUUAGCUGUGGAAUGCAUAUAUAAUUAUGUGUUAUUUAAUCUGGUUUAAAAGCAGAUAAUACAUAUCUAAUUUCCAUAAUAACAGUAGCAAUCAUUGCUGUUAGUGUGCUCUGUGGCAUGACCAAGUCUAGCUCUGCCUCUUUGUGUGUGUGUGUGUGUGUGUGUGUGAGUGUGUGAGAGAGAGAGAGAGAGAGAGAGAGAGAGGGAGAGGGAGAGAGAGUGAAGGUCUAGGUUUCCAGGUGUCAGUGGUGUGUGGAACUGUGAGGUAGUGGUGUGCUUACCCUGACGUCUCCUCUCUGAGCGGUGUGGGGGAUGAGGAUGGGUCCCUCCAGCUCUGCUGGACUCAGCACUGCCCCCCGCUGACCCAGAGUGAAGAUGGUGUUCCUGCUCUUCAGGGAUGGCUUGGAGAAGAAACCUGCUCAGCUGUUAAGGAUAAAUCACUGGGUACUGAGAUAUAAAUGCAUUAUCCUGAUAAAGUAAUAAAUAAUAAUUUAUAAUAAUAGAUAAAAUAAUAAUUUAACCCUUUUUUAUCCAGUCAUUUGGUCCACGAUAAUAUUGCACACAAUAAAACUAUAAUGUGUACAACAUAGUGAAACUUCUUUACAAAGUCAAAUAAACAACCCUGGAAUGUU